GACGAACGCUGGCGGCGUGCUUAACACAUGCAAGUCGAACGGAAAGGCCCUGCUUUUGUGGGGUGCUCGAGUGGCGAACGGGUGAGUAACACGUGAGUAACCUGCCCUUGACUUUGGGAUAACUUCAGGAAACUGGGGCUAAUACCGGAUAGGAGCUCCUGCUGCAUGGUGGGGGUUGGAAAGUUUCGGCGGUUGGGGAUGGACUCGCGGCUUAUCAGCUUGUUGGUGGGGUAGUGGCUUACCAAGGCUUUGACGGGUAGCCGGCCUGAGAGGGUGACCGGCCACAUUGGGACUGAGAGACGGCCCAGACUCCUACGGGAGGCAGCAGGGGGGAAUAUUGCACAAUGGGCGGAAGCCUGAUGCAGCAACUCCGCGUUCGGGAUGACGGCCUUCUGGUUGUAAACCGCUUUCGCCUGUGACGAAGCGUGAGUGACGGUAAUGGGUAAAGAAGCACCGGCUAACUACGUG
rnacentral:rRNA from 1 species